UUUAUUUGUAAAUGUAUAUUUUAAUUAAAUAGUUCAGAUAAAAUUGAUUUAUAUUUUAACGGAUUGGAUCGAAUUGAAUCCAACAUAUAGAAUUUAACAUUUGAUAAAUUGGACUUUGAUUUUAAUAAAAUCCAAUAGAUUUUCAAGGCUGCUCAAAUCUGCUGACAAGGAGGGCUAUACAGUUGCGAUCCAGCAAAUAUGGAUUACUGUUAAUGGGUCAAAACAGAAAGGGGUCCUUGCGCUCAGCUUUCUGAUAAAGCCCUUACUGUGGAGAAGUGGAAGUUACGGGCCAGAAACGUGGAGGCCUGGGAAAGGAAUUUGAUCCAUUAGCGAGUAUUUGGCAGCCCACACUAGCUCGAUCAACAUCGGCUAAAAUGAUUUCAGCCCAUUUUUUAUGCUGAUAGGGGUCAGUACGACCGUGGUCAGCUAGUUAUAUACAAACUGAUAUUUAUGCAAAAAAAAAAAAAAAAAAAAAAAAAAAAAUCCUGAGUGGAGCUAUUAGCACCCGUCUAAAGAUCUUUUAAAACCCAUAUUCUAAAUUUACCUUAUUAAAAUAUUUAAACAAUUGUCUGGAGUUCAUAAUAUCCUAGUUAAUUCCCAAAAUAGCCCGGAUUCACACCCCACCAUGUCUCCUCCGUUAACCCCAAUAUUGCUAGUUGUUUUUCAAUUUCGUCGUUAACAAAGGGAAUGUUUGUAUUUUAAUUUAUUUCUAAAAUUUAAAAUUGAGAGAGAGAAACCAUUUUAAAUUUUUUUAUGGGGUUAAUUAAGAAAAGGUUGCUAAUAUUACUACU
rnacentral:lncRNA from 1 species